ensembl:lncRNA
GUUCUCUCGCAGCUCCAGUCCUGUACCUCAAUGCAUCCAGUGCUCAGGAAGGGGACGUCGUCCAGGCUCGAUGUGUCCUUCAGAAGCUGGUUCCUGCUACCCGAAUUAUCUUCUGCAAGGAUGGGUUGAAGAUGUCUGUCCUUAAAGCCCAAGAGGGCGGAGCUAUCAACUUCAUCCUGCUGAACAUCACUGAGGGAAGCACUGGGACAUACACGUGUUUGUACCAGCAGAAGAAUGAGAUGAACAGACAGAGAAACUCUCCACUCAGUCCUCCCCGCAAACUGAAUGUCACAGGCCACAUCCCUGACCCCACAGGAGGGAUGGCGCCCACAGAGACCAACUCACAGCAGGACCACACAGUGACUGUGGUGGCAUCGGUGGCUGUCACCCUCCUUUUUUCUGCAGCCACCUAUUGGACUAUCAAGAAAGGUGCCUGCAGAGAGAGAUGCCAAAGGCAGCAGAAUGAUCCCAGCCAGCAGAUGGAAGCCACUGAGUACGGAGAAAUACAGUAUGCCACCAUUGCCCACGUUCAAGGGCACAAAGUGAGUUGGGUCCCUCUCCCCCUGGAAAUGAAGUUCCCUAGACGUGCAAUUUUCUUGCUUGUACAACUUCUCAUGUAUCUCCUUCCCUUCCCUUCCCUUCCCUUCCCUUCCCUUCCCUUCCCUUCCCUUCCCUUCCCUUCCCUUCCUUCCCUUCCCUUCCCUUCCCUUCCCUUCCCUUCCCUUCCCUUCCCUUCCCUUCCCUCCCUUUCCCUUCCCUUCCCUUCUCUCCUUCCCUUCCCUUCCCUCCCUUCCCUUCCCUUCCCUUCCCUUCCCUUCCCUUCCCUUCCCUAGCAGAAAUAUGGCAGAUCAUGAGAUACGUUUUCCAGCCACGAAUCACACUCUCCUCUUCGACCUCCCCUUGUUGCGCAGAGCUGCAGCCCCUUCUUUGCAGCUGCCAGAACUCUGUGAUUCCUCCUCAGAAGCUCCAUAAAUGGUUCCAUCCCAAAAGCUGGAAGAACAUUUCUGAGUGCUUUUAAAGAGUCUGGAUAGGAAGAAUCUCUUUAACAACCACGAAGAAGAAAGAGGCUGUCCAGCAAGCGAUUGCUGCCCCAAACCUGCUCUUAUCUUUGCAAACUGUCUCCUGACUGCUACAGCAACGUGCAUGGAUCCUUCAGGUGUGCCUGGAGCCUCCUGGUGCAUAUUAGGAAACAAGAACCGAUUUAUUUCACGGUCAAUAGUAAAGAGUUGUAUUUAACCAUCUGCCCACCUCUUUGCUUUUGUGCUCAUUGGCUUUUGCCCUUAUGCAUCACACAGUGGAAACGUUCAUCUUUGCACCCAUGCAAUGUAGCUUUUUCACUGACCGACCUCAGCUCAGGUCACAGAGAUACUUAUACAUCCCCAUUAGAUGCAGGAGGCGUUGAGUGAGACCAGCCCUGAUGCACACAGCUAUGGAUAUUUCAGAUAUCCACGUCCCUGCACGGAAAAAUUUUGCUUUAAUAUUGAGGCAUUUGCAUUACACAUUGAAAUGGUUCGACUACCUCGAGGUUGUCCAAGAGAUAAGAAAACCCAAAGACCACACACAGCCCCUGAUAAACCAAAGCACAGCCUUCAGAUCCUACCGGGUAAUUAAACCCUAUGGGGAUGUGCAGCCCGCUGCUGGGUUUGCUUUCAUUUUCACUUUGUUCUGCUGCUUAAUGAAUAGCAGAAGUAGUGACGGAACAAAGCCAGUCUCUGCAACACAGAGACACAGGAGAUCUCCAUAGUCUUCCCAGCUGAAUCUGUUGUACUCCUAAUGGACGAAUGCAACCUGACAAUGCCCGUCUUUCCAUUGGAGCUGUGGCAGAAUCCUUGU